rnacentral:rRNA from 1 species
CCUGAUCCAGCCAUGCCGCGUGUGUGAAGAAGGCUUUCGGGUUGUAAAGCACUUUCAGUGAGGAGGAAAACCUUAAGUUUAAUACGCUUGAGGCUUGACGUUACUCACAGAAGAAGCACCGGCUAACUCCGUGCCAGCAGCCGCGGUAAUACGGAGGGUGCAAGCGUUAAUUAGAAUUACUGGGCGUAAAGCGCGCGUAGGUGGUUUGAUAAGCGAGAUGUGAAAGCCCCGGGCUCAACCUGGGAACGGCAUUUCGAACUGUCAGGCUAGAGUAUGGUAGAGGAGUGGGGAAUUUCCUGUGUAGCGGUGAAAUGCGUAGAUAUAGGAAGGAACACCAGCGGCGAAGGCGGCACUCUGGACCAAUACUGACACUGAGGUGCGAAAGCGUGAAGAGCAAACAGGAUUAGAUACCCUGGUAGUCCACGCUGUAAACGAUGUCAACUAGCCGUUGGGACUCUUGAAGUCUUAGUGGCGCAGCUAACGCACUAAGUUGACCGCCUGGGGAGUACGGCCGCAAGGUUAAAACUCAAAUGAAUUGACGGGG